CCCUGUGCAGUCCCAGUUCACCCCACAGCUAUGACUCAGGCCAUUAACUGCCCUGGGCAAAUAGGAUUACACCGAAAGGACAACACAUAGUGUGUGUACGGGCAAGACAACAAUUCAAGUCUUCUGAAUGUGAUUAUCUGAGUGGACUUUGGGGCAGCAGGAUCAGAUGAUGACUGGUGUCCCAGCAGGAUCAGACAGCCAGGGAAGACCAGUCUACGGAGCUCAGGGUCAGAUGAUGACAGGGGUCUCAUCAGGGUCAGAUGAUGACAGGAGUCUCAGCUGGGUCAGAUGAUGACAGGGGUCUCAGCAGGGUCAAGCAACCAGGGAAGACCAGUCUGUGACAGCGCUGAGCUCGAGGGCGCCAGGAUCCCCAGCAUUACGCACUCAAGCCACCAUCAGUACGCACACCUGCCUUCCCCUCGUCACGCGCAUCAGCAAUCAUUGGACUCACGUGGACUCAAUUACUUGUGACAUUACCUUCCCUAUAUCUGUCUGUGCCCAAGCUCUGUUCCCUGGUUCACGAUUAAUUGUCUCAUGUCCGUGUUACCCGUGUUCCGACGCUGUUCCUGUCUUGUUUCCUUGUCUGUUCCCGAAUAAAUGUCUGACUCCCUGCACCUGCUUCUCCUGUCUGGCGUCGGCCCUUACACUGGGAGACACUAUGAUGAUGAUGAAUGUAUACAGGUAUGGUUGAAUGCCCAGUCAUGUUCAUAUAAUGUCAGACAAAUGACUGCAGUUUAAGACCCUCCGUAGAGCAUACUAUAUGCCAGUGAAUCUGAAUAUCAUUCACUCAGAAAUAUAAUUCCUCUGCUGGAGGUGUAAAACACAAACACAAUAUUUGCAUAUGUUAUGGUCUUGUGAAGACUGGCUGAAUUCUGGUCAGGAGUAUGUUCUUUUAUCUCAGCAUGUCUACAGAUUCUCCCUUCUCCCUCUUUUUGUUUGAUUGGAAAUGAUGAUACGGGAGACUGUUAUUAGAAGAAACUGUGUAACCUAGCAUUUAUAGUGGCUAAGAAAUGCAUUGUCAUUAAUCUGAAGGUUGGUUAUCCUCCCACAAUGUCACAUUUGAUGGCAGAAAUGUCAAGUUAUGCAUCACUAGAUUUGAUUUAUUACAAGUUUAACGGUAUACAAGAUUAAGGCUCCCAAGUGGCAGAGUGGUCUAAGACACUGCAUCUCAGUGCUAGAGGCAUCACUGCAGACCCUGGUUCAAUUCCAGGCUGUAUCACAACAGGCCGUGAUUGGGAGUACCAUAGGGCGACGCACAAUUGGCUCAGUGUCCUCCGUGUUUGGCCGACAUUGAAAAUAAGAAUUUGUUCUUAACUUACUUGCCUCGUUAAAUAAAGCUUAAAUAAAAAAUACUGUGCAAAUUCCAUGCGGUUUGGGUGCCUAAUAUGGAAUACUGUAUG